UACAGAGGUGGCACGCGUUGUUCGGAUUUACUGGGCGUAAAGGGCGCGUAGGCGGUCAGCACAAGUCAGUUGUGAAAUCUCCGGGCUUAACUCGGAAAGGUCAACUGAUACUGUGCGACUAGAGUGCAGAAGGGGCAACUGGAAUUCUCGGUGUAGCGGUGAAAUGCGUAGAUAUCGAGAGGAACACCUGCGGCGAAGGCGGGUUGCUGGGCUGACACUGACGCUGAUGCGCGAAAGCCAGGGGAGCGAACGGG
rnacentral:rRNA from 1 species